UUACGAAAUGAAGCUAAGAUUUGGCCAGGACUUGGACUUGGUGCUUAGCAGUUACCUGCAUAAUGCUGCUGAGAAGAUAGUUGAGACCUGUAAAGGACCACUAAAGAACUCAUUUACUGCUACAAUGUUGCAGGCACACCCACUGCAAUCAAAAUGUAUGCUGAACAAUGCUGCCGUGAUGCUCCUGCCGACACUGAUGAAGGAAAACCAUAAAUUACUGUACUGCAUCAAUGAGGAACCACCAGCACCGACGCCAACCAUGAUGAUUCGUUGUGAAAAUUCUCCUUUGGCGGAAGUAAUGGUUUCCAUCAAGAUUGAUGGCGAAUUUGUCAUUGGCCCCUCCCCUGACAUUGAUGCCUCCUUAGGCCUUGUCUGUAUUUUUUGUUUAUAUUUUCUUUUUGAUGUUCAAUACCCAAAAGAGGUCCACCACACAUUACUAUUCUUUGAAAGACGCCUUAACCUGUCUAUGUCUAAGCCCUCCACUCCAGUGUUGCGUGUGGAAAAACUGUUAUCAUAAAGUGUGUUUUAUAAUCAUUUGAAAUUUAUUAAUUUGUAAAAAUGUAACUAUUGCUGUUUUGAGCGUAUUUAUGACACAUUUUUUAUUUUUAAUA